AGUGAACGCUGGCGGUAGGCCUAACACAUGCAAGUCGAACGGCAGCACAGUAAGAGCUUGCUCUUACGGGUGGCGAGUGGCGGACGGGUGAGGAAUACAUCGGAAUCUACUUUUUCGUGGGGGAUAACGUAGGGAAACUUACGCUAAUACCGCAUACGACCUACGGGUGAAAGCAGGGGAUCUUCGGACCUUGCGCGAUUGAAUGAGCCGAUGUCGGAUUAGCUAGUUGGCGGGGUAAAGGUCCACCAAGGCGACGAUCCGUAGCUGGUCUGAGAGGAUGAUCAGCCACACUGGAACUGAGACACGGUCCAGACUCCUACGGGAGGCAGCAGUGGGGAAUAUUGGACAAUGGGCGCAAGCCUGAUCCAGCCAUACCGCGUGGGUGAAGAAGGCCUUCGGGUUGUAAAGCCCUUUUGUUGGGAAAGAAAAGCAGCAGGUUAAUACCCCGCUGUUCUGACGGUACCCAAAGAGUAAGCACCGGCUAACUUCGUG
rnacentral:rRNA from 1 species